AGCAGCCGCGGUAAUUCCAGCUCCAAUAGCGUAUAUUAAAGUUGUUGCAGUUAAAAGCUCGUAGUUGAAUUUCGGGAUCAAUUAGUCGGUCGUGCCUCUGGUACGUACUGGUUUUAUUGGUUCCUCCCUUCUGACGAAACAUGAUGUCAUUAAUUUGGUGUCGUGGAGAAUCAGGACUGUUACCUUGAAAAAUUAGAGUGUUUAUAGCAGGCUAACGCUUGAAUACAUCAGCAUGGAAUAAUGAAAUAGGACGUUCGACCCUAUUUUGUUGGUUUCUAGGAUCGACGUAAUGAUUAAUAGGGAUAGUUGGGGGCAUUAGUAUUCAAUUGUCAGAGGUGAAAUUCUUGGAUUUAUUGAAGACUAACUACUGCGAAAGCAUUUGCCAAGGAUGUUUUCAUUAAU
rnacentral:rRNA from 1 species